rnacentral:misc_RNA from 1 species
UAUUCGAAAUAUCGCAUUCUCCGUGGCAUUCGCCCUGGCCGUCGGCUGUUUCACGCAUGACGCCUCGGCACACCACUCGCGCGCCCAGUUCCAGCUGGACAAGCUCACUUCGAUGAAGGCGAAGAUCACGCGCGUGCGGUGGAGCAAUCCGCACGUGUUCUAUGCGGGCACCGUGGUCAACGA